CCAAAAAUAUUUUUCACUUUUCUUAACAUUUUAUUUAAUUUUAUAUCAUUUUUAUUUUCGUAUUUUUUUAAUAUUAAUAUUUUAAUUUAAUUAUUUAUUCUAAAUGGUCCAUUUUAACACACUUUUUUUAUUGAUUUUAUUUUUAUGACUUAAAAUUAUUGUUAACAUUUGAUUUUUGGGAUGAAGGUUGACCACUAUCUCAUGGUCAACCUAACCUUUUCUUGGAAUUUUAUUUCAU
rnacentral:lncRNA from 1 species